CCACACAUGGUAUUACCUUUAAGGA
rnacentral:tRNA from 1 species